GCCUGGGGAUCAAGAUGUAGAACUCUC
rnacentral:piRNA from 1 species